GAACUAUUAUUUAACUUGCUUUGAAAGCAGGUUAUGAAUUUUUAUUCGUAGUUUU
rnacentral:tRNA from 1 species